AAAUCAAAUUUCCAAACAGGUAAACAUCGACUUCACCACUUUUUUUCUUUUACUUUUCUACUUUUAGCUGGUGCUGUGUGGCAGAGAACCACUUAUGUGCAGAAAUGAUCACCUAUCCAUUUUUUCCCCCUUUUCUGGGUGGAAUUGUUUUUCCCAGUUGAAGCAAGGGAUUUCACUCUGCUUUUCCGCUCAACUAUUUCCAAAUUGGUUUUAAUCUACAUCAUGGCCUGGUAUGGUUUACGUUGCAGAAAUGUUUGGACUACGCCAAGGGCAAACGAAUCUAGGAUGGAAUGACUGGAGCAUCUUUCUCUGCCACGGAACUUGCCCACAAGCUAGCAUGACUUUGAAGACUAGGAGACAUCUGCCAGUUGAAACAAGCUGUGAUGAUGCAAUAACAAUGAUAAAUAAACUUCCUUGAAGCUCAGUAGGCUUCUGAGCUUCUACAAUAAGUAAUUAAAAAAAGAAUAACUGAGGUUUUUAGGUGCUUUCAUCUUCCAUUUACUACUCUAGUUUUCCCUACUUCAGGCUGAAACUGUAAUAUUGCUUUUCUUCUAACUACCCUCUUUCCUAUUUUCCUUUUUCAUCCAAUUGAUAUCUAAAUAAAUUCAACUACCUAUACA
ensembl:lncRNA